GACACUGUCCAUCCUGGCAUCAUGUUUUCGACAAAUUUAGAAUUUUUUACAUAUUUUCUGUGAUUUUCGGACAGAUGUCGGGUGUCUAGUAACAUUUGGGGUUUUAUCUCGCUAUUGUUUUUGUUGUACAUCUCCAGAGCUCCUUUAAAUCCCUUGGCAUCUGGGUCCGUUGUCAUGUAUUGUACUUCGAGAGAAUCAUUUUUUAAUUGUGCCAAACAGUCCUUAGCCCAUUUUGUCUCAUCUCCAAUAGACAUUGACAUGGGGAUGUUACGAGAGCAUGUUGGGUCUUGCAGGCAUGUUUCAGAAGUACUAAUGUUGUGAUGUUUAGAGCAUAAUUUGUUUUUGGUAGAAAUUGCUAACACCUGCUUUUUGUGUGUGUUGUGUUCGACUGCUGUAUACACGACCUGGGUCGCAGGUUGAUAAGGUGUUUUACCAACCCCUGAGUACAGUGGAUUGUUGUACAUGCCAUUGCAUUGUAGGUUGACAGUGUUAGGUUUGGAGCCCCUUAAUUUGUUUAUGUCCCUUAGUGUCUCUCUCCUGGCUUUCAUGUCUGCAGUGUUUGAUGUUACUAUGUUUUUACAAACUUUGUUUGCAGUUCUUUGGCAUCCACUGGCUGAUGGUGCAGGGAUAUUCAUGCACAAACACAAUAGACGGAAGUUUUCGGCACCUAUGGGCAUUUUUGUGAGCCCAACCUGAACUGUCACAUUUGGCUGAGCUGCCCUCCGCCCCCUGGAUCUUACUUCAGUUUUCUCCACUUCGUCAUACAAGUUGCUGAGUUCGCAGUGUUUCAACUUUAGAGAGAUCUGCAACAACUUUACUGCCGGCAGAAAACGUACAGCCCAUGUCUUUUGAAAGUAAGAGUAAAGAUUCUGCAGGCCCAUUGUUAAUGGUAUGGACUGCACUGUGGGCCCUAGCUGCGAAAUUCCUGCUGAAGGUGGUGUGUCUGGUUCUUUGGCAUCCACUGGCUGAUGGUGCAGGGAUAUUCAUGCACAAACACAAUAGACGGAAGUUUUCGGCACCUAUGGGCAUUUUUGUGAGCCCAACCUGAACUGUCACAUUUGGCUGAGCUGCCCUCCGCCCCCUGGAUCUUACUUCAGUUUUCUCCACUUCGUCAUACAAGUUGCUGAGUUCGCAGUGUUUCAACUUUAGAGAGAUCUGCAACAACUUUACUGCCGGCAGAAAACGUACAGCCCAUGUCUUUUGAAAGUAAGAGUAAAGAUUCUGCAGGCCCAUUGUUAAUGGUAUGGACUGCACUGUGGGCCCUAGCUGCGAAAUUCCUGCUGAAGGUGGUGUGUCUGGUUCUUUGGCAUCCACUGGCUGAUGGUGCAGGGAUAUUCAUGCACAAACACAAUAGACGGAAGUUUUCGGCACCUAUGGGCAUUUUUGUGAGCCCAACCUGAACUGUCACAUUUGGCUGAGCUGCCCUCCGCCCCCUGGAUCUUACUUCAGUUUUCUCCACUUCG